rnacentral:ncRNA from 1 species
CUGUAAGGUGGACGCGCAGAAGCUGCACCAGCGCCUUAUGGUUUAAGACAGACUGGGGGUAAGUGGUUGUAACACUGCAAAUGGGCGGCGAAGUCAGCACCCAUACCACGCCAAGGCUGACGGGU